rnacentral:rRNA from 1 species
UACGUAGGGUGCAAGCGUUAAUCGGAAUUACUGGGCGUAAAGCGUGCGCAGGCGGUUGUGCAAGACCGAUGUGAAAUCCCAGGGCUUAACCUUGGAACUGCAUUUGUGACUGCAUAGCUAGAGUACGGUAGAGGGGGAUGGAAUUCCGCGUGUAGCAGUGAAAUGCGUAGAUAUGCGGAGGAACACCGAUGGCGAAGGCAAUCCCCUGGACCUGUACUGACGCUCAUGCACGAAAGCGUGGGGAGCAAACAGG